UAACGGCUAUACUUCAGAGGUUAGGGGAUCUGUCAAACUCCUAGUAUCACAAGUAAAUCUGUGCAUUCGCCCCUUCUUGUCUUCAAUUUUGAACCCAAAUGUAUUUGGCAACCCUGAUGAAGGAUAGGCAAGGGAUCUUCCUGUCUCUCCUCCUUCAGAAGGCAAUUUCAAGGAACCUUCACUCCGUGUAUCCUCAUCAUCCUCGUUGGGACUUAAAGCCAUUGCAGAAUCCCAAAACUUUUGCAUCAUUGUGCUUGCUGCCUCAUUAUUUACUCCAGCAGUACUUCCAACCGUGGCAACUGCUGCAUGAGUAAUAUGAAUCACAUCAACCACAGCAACUAUAUUCCCAUCUCUAUCUACCACAGGAAGGUGCAAAAACUUCCCAUCAUGCAUGAUAUGAAGAGCAUCAACAAUUGGUGUAUCAAUGGUUGCACAUUCAGGGUUAGGAGUCAUAACCUUCUCCACAACAGUGGUAUCUGGAGGAAGAUUUUGUGCUAUUACUCGCAUCAAGAUAUCCUUAGAGGUUAAAAUUCCUCGUGGUUUGUGAUCAACCAUCACCACUGCAGAGCUUGACCGAAAUUCAAGCAUCUUCUUUGUCACUGCCAAAACACUUUCAGUUGGAGAAACUGUUACAACCUUUGAAUUCUCCUGAAUUAUUGUAGAUAAAGACGGUCUAAACAUCCGCUCUCGAAGUGUUUCAAUGAACGUAUUAGGUCCAGAUAAG
rnacentral:misc_RNA from 1 species